UACGAAGGGGGGCUAGCGUUGUUCGGAAUCACUGGGCGUAAAGCGCACGUAGGCGGAUUUUUAAGUCAGGGGUGAAAUCCCGAGGCUCAACCUCGGAACUGCCUUUGAUACUGGAGAUCUUGAGUCCGGAAGAGGUAAGUGGAACUGCGAGUGUAGAGGUGAAAUUCGUAGAUAUUCGCAAGAACACCAGUGGCGAAGGCGGCUUACUGGUCCGGAACUGACGCUGAGGUGCGAAAGCGUGGGGAGCAAACAGG
rnacentral:rRNA from 1 species